GGUGGGGGGUUUGUUUCCACCUUUUCUCUCCAAGCUCAGCCCUCAACGGCCGCUUCAACACGACCGCAAUCGCAUCCAAUUGUGACGUCGCACUCUCCUGACAGAUGUUGAAAAGUAAGGAGACCGGUUAAGCGACAGGUCAGGGCUUGCUGAGAACCUGGAACCUCGGCUCCUUUGAUCUGCUCCCGGUGACAAACAGGACCACAGUUGGACAGCUGAAACUGACAGACCAUCAGGAGGACUGCCACCGUGCUAAUAGAACCAGGUGAAUCUGGAGGUGUCCGGGUCACAGAGGAGGCAGGGGCUGCUGGGAUUGGAGUCUCCUUCUUUGAAACACAUCCCGUCGACGUUGCACGUCUUCUCCUGGCAAGAAACAGCAUCAAGGUCUGACCUGGAUCAUGAACGCUCAGAGACAGCGGGACUGCACACUGGAGACUGUGGUCGGGGCUGAAGCAGGGGAUGGGCACCGUGCUGUGGACGGUCACCUCGUGCUCUUUACUGUUCUCUGCGAUGUGGAGCGAGUCCAGAGAAAACUGGAGAGAAAGACGACAUUAAAAGACAUCCGGUACUUCUAACCUGUGGACAUGCUGAGUGACAGGAAUGCAGCCUCACGAGCCAAGUGUGCACAAUCUUCUGAUUCAAACAGGC